GGUAGUUUUCAUACCUCGUUGCCUGAUUUUUACUGCGCAAGGGGUCUGCCGGGCAAGGCAUUCAUAUCUGAAAGCUGGAGUGCUUAUUAAUGAAGAAUGACUUCCAUUGAAGCCCAGGGUAGGCGUGUUAUGAAUCUGGCGCAUCCAGAAGCACAGGAAAUAACUCCCGCUGCGAGUGCGGUUGCAUAACUAUAGCGCAGGAGAUGCCUCUGUGCCCGAACUGCUUCAGAGGGAGGCGGAACUGUACUGAAUAGGCAGCUGUCACGUUUGCAUUGGUAGAGGACAAAUACGUAUUCAUCUCAACAGAUUUUUGCCCAGAAACCUGACGUUUCGGGUUGGAGCCUAGGGUCUGUCUGACGGAGGACUCGGAGCUCCCGGCUUUGCAAAUUCUCUUUAUCUAGAAACCCAGUCUGGGGCCUGGGGCCAGAAUCCCAAGCUCUGCCAAGUUCGUGAACAUCUUCCCAGGCGUCAGUCUGACUGGGGGAAAUUCUUUUCACGUCUCAGGUUUGUCUGACCUGAGAAUGAAGGUUGCUGCUCCAGCCACCUGGAGGAGUAGAAUGGUUCCAGAAGAAGAAGAAAGAGAACUUCCCCCACUCCUGCCAUCUGCUUAAGCUCGGAUUGUUCGCCGGAGGAACAUGCACGCUACUGUUAACAUUUUCUGUAUACACAGUAGUGCUUGAUGUUUGAAGAAUGAACGAAGGAGCGAAACCAAUCAUUGACCCCCCCCCCCCAGUCCCCUUAAUUUCUGAGGUUUGUUUAUGUAACUGGCUUCCCGCCUCAGCAGGUCCCAACUGAGAGCAAAGAAAGCGGACUGUUCCUGACGAGAAAUGUUUUAUCAGGUAAUUGGCACUGAAAGAACAAAAAAGAAAACAAAAAAGUGUCUCCUUCUGGGAAAGAAGUAGGGAAGUCUACUAAGGAAGAAAGAGACUCCAUAUCAAAAUGUCAUUUCCAAUGUUACGUCUAAGCCAGUUGCAUGACUCUUACAACUCCUAUGUGGAGGGUCUGAAAAAUGGAGUGGAGGAAGGAUUUUAAAGAGGAUUUAUCGGCAAGGAGCCGUGCUGUGAGUCUAUCUUUCUCCAUGGGGAGAGGAUGAUGAACGCAAUCCUAAGCCUAGCACAAGGGACUUACAGACAACACUCACUGAAUUUGUUAUGAAAUUAGCAUAUCGAGGAGACCAGUGUUUGGCUCUUGUCUGAGGAAUCAAACAAGCAUGAGAUCUGCUGCCUUGCUUUAGGUGGAUGGACUGCAGGAGGAUGCAUGACUCAUCAUCAAGGGAAUUUCAGAUGAGAAGUCUUCUAAUGGAGCUCUUUCUAAGAAUCCACAAAAUAGGUCUUGAGAGUGUCAUAAGAGAGUAUGGGACUGUUUUGUGACAGAACUACAUAGCCAACGAUUUUCCUGCCCUGUCCCAACUGUCUCCUCAACACUCAUUGACUUUGGAGAAAAGCAUCAGAACCAGUUUAGAAAGAUGGAGAAGGGGCAGUCCAA
rnacentral:lncRNA from 1 species